GCACUGCUGAGGAGUCCCAAAAUAGGACGAAACGGUUGUACAGUGC
rnacentral:hammerhead_ribozyme from 1 species